rnacentral:rRNA from 1 species
GAAUAUUGGACAAUGGGGGGAACCCUGAUCCAGCCAUGCCGCGUGUGUGAAGAAGGCCUUUUGGUUGUAAAGCACUUUAGGCGAGGAGGAGGCUCAUCUGUUAAAUCCCUACAGUUAGUGUACUUUGCUCCAAGAAUAAGCACCGGCUACACCUGUGCCAGCAGCCGCGGUAAUACAGAGGGUGCAAGCGUUAAUCGGAUUUACUGGGCGUAAAGCGCGCGUAGGUGGCCAAUUAAGUCAAAUGUGAAAUCCCCGAGCUUAACUUGGGAAUUGCAUUCGAUACUGGUUGGCUAGAGUAUGGGAGAGGAUGGUAGAAUUCCAGGUGUAGCGGUGAAAUGCGUAGAGAUCUGGAGGAAUACCGAUGGCGAAGGCAGCCAUCUGGCCUAAUACUGACACUGAGGUGCGAAAGCAUGGGGAGCAAAC